UUCAACAAGCUCCGCUCUCUGCAAGCCUUUCUGGAGGAAUCGCAGAUACAAACCGUAGAUGAAGCUCUGGACGCCAAAAUCCGAGACGUAGCCGUUGAAGCAGAGGCCAAAAUCGAGUCAAAAUUUUCCAACGGCUUGUUGUUCGACAUUUUUUAACUGAGGACGAAUUGCAAAAGGAUGGAAGCUCUAAAGAAGAGAGAAAAUAUGCAAUUUGAUUAUUUUGUGACUGAGCAAAACUGGUUUAGGCAAGGGACAUCAUAUAGAGCUAUAAUGAGGCAAAAUUCCCAGAAAUCAUUGAGUUGCUGAUGUUGCAGUUGAUGUUCUGUAUUAAUCUUUGGUAUUUUGGAUUCCUUCAAGUGUUAAUGUUUUGUCGACUAGCAUUACUAAGCGAAGUCUACACCAUUGAGUAAUGGCUGCAAGGUUUUUUUUGUCACCCAAA